AUUCUGGUUGAUCCUGCAGUAGUCAUAAUCUUCGUCUCAAAAAGUAAGUUCAAGCAUGGCAUGUCUAAGUACAAACCUUAAUACGGUGAAAACCGCGAAUGGCUGCAUUAAAUUCAGCUAUGGUUCCUUAGAUUCGUCUCAUCCUACUCGUGAUAACUGUUUGGAAUAAUCUAGAGCUAAUACGGUGCUUACAAGCAGCGCCUGAGCCUCUCACGGGAGGGGCGCAUUUUAUUAGAUCAAAACCAAUCCGGGGCUUGCGCCGUCUCUCUGGUGAACUCUGGAUAAACUUUUGUGCUGAUCGCAUGGCUCUGCUGCGCUGCGACGUAUCUUUCAAGUGUCUGCCGCUAUCAACUUACGAUGACCUGGUAGGUGAUAUGCCUACCAUCGGUUAGUAACGGGUAACGGGGAAUCAGGGUUUCGAUUCCGGAGAGGGAGGCCUGAGAGAACGGCCUCUACCACAGUCUAAAGGAAGGCAGCAGGCGCAGGGCUGCGCAAAUUACCCACUCCCGGCACACGGGAGGUAGUUGACGAAAAAUAACGAUACGCGGGACUCUUUUGAGGCCCGCCGUAAUUGGAAUGAGUACACUCUUUAAAUCGUUAACAAGUAUAACAUGAUGGCGGGCAAGUUGGAAGGUGCCCAAGUCUAGCGUGCCGCGUAAUUCUCCGGUAAGUUCUCCAUAUACCGUUAUAUAUAAUGUGUAGUUACUUAGUGUUGCUGCAGUUAAAAAAGCUCGUAGCUUGGAUCUGAGGACUCGAAUUGUGUGUGCACCAUACGAACGGUUGUUUUGCCGCUUCGGCGAUUCCUACCUAGUCGGUGCUCGCUCUUGGUGUUCUUAAUUGAAUGCCCUGAGUGCCCGCAAGUUUACUUUGAAAAAUUAGAGUGCUCAAAGCAGGCCAUUAGCCGGAUAUACUUCAGCAAUGGGAAUAAUGGAAUAGGACUUCGGUUCUAUUUUGUUGGUUUUCGGAACCCGAGGCUAAUGAUGUUAAGAGUGAGACAGACGGGGGCAUUCGUACUGCGGUGUUAGAGGGUGAAAUUCUUGAUGAGUCCCGCAAGACGAACAACUGCGAAAGCAUUUGCCAAGAGAAUGUUUUCAUUAAUCCAAGAACGAAAGUCAGAGGUUCGAAGGCGAUCAGAUACCGUCCUAGUUCUGACCAUAAAAGCGAUGCCAACUGGCGAUCGGCGAGACUCGUUUUGCUUAUUGACCAUCU
rnacentral:ncRNA from 1 species